GAUGAACGCUGGCGGCGUGCCUAAUACAUGCCAGUCGAGCGAACGGACGAGAAGCUUGCUUCUCUGAUGUUAGCGGCGGACGGGUGAGUAACACGUGGAUAACCUACCUAUAAGACUGGGAUAACUUCGGGAAACCGGAGCUAAUACCGGAUGAUAUUUUGAACCGCAUGGUUCAAAAGUGAAAGACGGUCUUGCUGUCACUUAUAGAUGGAUCCGCGCUGCAUUAGCUAGUUGGUAAGGUAACGGCUUACCAAGGCAACGAUGCAUAGCCGACCUGAGAGGGUGAUCGGCCACACUGGAACUGAGACACGGUACAGACUCCUACGGGAGGCAGCAGUAGGGAAUCUUCCGCAAUGGGCGAAAGCCUGACGGAGCAACGCCGCGUGAGUGAUGAAGGUCUUCGGAUCGUAAAACUCUGUUAUUAGGGAAGAACAUAUGUGUAAGUAACUGUGCACAUCUUGACGGUACCUAAUCAGAAAGCCACGGCUAACUACGU
rnacentral:rRNA from 1 species